GAGUGUUGAUGAAUUCACAGAUAAGUUCCUAGAUCUGCUUCAGUACGUGGGUCAAGCCUAUGAUACUGAUCAGAAGAAAGCAAGGAGAUAUACUAUGAGACUGCAUCCCAGGUAUGCUUCCUUGAUUCUUCCAGCAGAAAAGGAGAGUUUUCACUCUAUUAUAGAUGCAGCCAGAAAAAUGGAAGCUAGUGCCAAUAUUCAGAAACAGUCACAGGCACAGGCUUCGGGUGCUAAGGCCCCCAGUUCAGGUUCAACAAGCGGUAAGAGAUGGGAUAGAGCAAGAGGAACAAAGAGUAAGUUCUGGAAUAAAGUCAAGUCAGGUCUGGGAAUAGGUAGUGGCUCAAGCUCUGGCACAGCUCCAGUCUGCAGACGAUGCGGAAAACCACAUGGAGGAGUUUGUCGGUUGGGAUCUACAGCUUGUUUUCGAUGUGGACAGGAA
rnacentral:lncRNA from 1 species